AACGAACGCUGGCGGCAGGCUUAACACAUGCAAGUCGAACGCCCCGCAAGGGGAGUGGCCGACGGGUGAGUAACGCGUGGGAAUCUACCUAGUUCUACGGAACAACACAGGGAAACUUUUGCUAAUACCGUAUAAGCCCUAGGGGGGAAAGAUUUAUCGUAAUUAGAUGAGCCCGCGUAAGAUUAGCUAGUUGGUGGGGUAAUGGCCUACCAAGGCGACGAUCUUUAGCUGGUCUGAGAGGAUGAUCAGCCACACUGGGACUGAGACACCGCCCAGACUCCGACGGGAGGCAGCAGUGGGGAAUAUUGGACAAUGGGCGAAAGCCUGAUCCAGCCAUGCCGCGUGAGUGAUGAAGGCCUUAGGGUUGUAAAGCUCUUUCAGUAGGGAAGAUAAUGACGGUACCUACAGAAGAAGCCCCGGCUAACUUCGUGCCAGCCGCCGCGGUAAAAC
rnacentral:rRNA from 1 species